CCUACGGGUGGCAGCAGUGAGGAAUAUUGGUCAAUGGGCGGAAGCCUGAACCAGCCAAGUAGCGUGCAGGAUGACGGCCCUACGGGUUGUAAACUGCUUUUAUACGGGAAUAACGCGCCUUACGUGUAGGGCUUUGCAUGUACCGUAUGAAUAAGGACCGGCUAAUUCCGUGCCAGCAGCCGCGGUAAUACGGAGGGUCCGGGCGUUAUCCGGAUUUAUGGGGUUGAAAGGGAGCGUAGGCCGCAUGUCAAGCGUGCUGUGAAAUGUCCGGGCUCAACCCGGGACUUGCAGCGAGAACUGGCGUGCUUGAGUCCGCGGAAGGCAGGCGGAAUUCGUGGUGUAUCGGUGAAAUGCUUAGAUAUGACGAAGAACCCCGAUUGCGAAGGCAGCUUGCUGCAGCGGAACUGACGCUGAUGCUCGAAAGCGCGGGUAUCGAACAGGAUUAGAUACCCCUGUAGUC
rnacentral:rRNA from 1 species